rnacentral:misc_RNA from 1 species
GAACGCACAUUGCACUCCUUGGUAUUCCGAGGAGUAUGCCUGUUUCAGUAUCAUGAGCACUCUCACAUCUAACCUUUGGGUUAAAAUGUGGAAUUGGGAUGCGCCGGUUAUCAUAACGGCCCUCCUAAAAUUCAGUUCUUGGCUGCUUCCUACUACAGCAGUUUGGCCUAAUAGUUUUGAGUCUCCGAUUCAAAUCUUUGGCUAACAUUUGCUUCAGGAUGUCAGUCUUGAUAUACAGAAAUCUCAUUCAAACUUUGAUCUGAAAUCAGGUAGGGCUACCCGCUGAACUUA